rnacentral:rRNA from 1 species
CUUGGUCAUUUAGAGGAAGUAAAAGUCGUAACAAGGUCUCCGUUGGUGAACCAGCGGAGGGAUCAUUACCGAGUACUAUAACUCAUAACCCUUUGUGAACCUUCAUACCUGUUGCUUCGGCGGCGCGCCUCUCGGGGCGUGCCCGCCGGCAUUAUCAGAAUCUCUGUUCGAACCCGACGAUACUUCUGAGUGUUCUAAGCGAACUGUUAAAACUUUCAACAACGGAUCUCUUGGCUCCAGCAUCGAUGAAGAACGCAGCGAAACGCGAUAUGUAAUGUGAAUUGCAGAAUUCAGUGAAUCAUCGAAUCUUUGAACGCACAUGGCGCCUUCCAGUAUCCUGGGAGGCAUGCCUGUCCGAGCGUCGUUUCAACCCUCGAGCCCCCGUGGCCCGGCGUUGGGGACCUGCCCAGGCAGUCCCCGAAAACCAGUGGCGGACCCGACGGGCCCUUCCUUUGCGUAGUAACAUCUGCCUCGCAUCGGGAGCCCCCGGGCUAUCCGGCCUCUAAACCCCCCUCAAGCCCGCUCCGGCGGCACCAAGGUUGACCUCGGAUCAGGUAGGAAUACCCGCUGAACUUAAGCAUAUCAAUAAGCGGAGGA